rnacentral:rRNA from 1 species
AUUGAACGCUGGCGGCAUGCCUUACACAUGCAAGUCGAACGGCAGCACGGGUGCUUGCACCUGGUGGCGAGUGGCGAACGGGGGAGUAAUAUAUCGGAACGUACCUUAUUGUGGGGGAUAACGCAGCGAAAGCUGCGCUAAUACCGCAUAAUCCCUAAGGGGGAAAGCGGGGGACCGUAAGGCCUCGCGCAAUUAGAGCGGCCGAUACCUGAUUAGCUAGUGAGUGAGGUAAAGGCUCACCAAGGCAACGAUCAGUAGCUGGUCUGAGAGGACGAUCAGCCACACUGGGACUGAGACACGGCCCAGACUCCUACGGGAGGCAGCAGUGGGGAAUUUUGGACAAUGGGGGCAACCCUGAUCCAGCAAUGCCGCGUGAGUGAAGAAGGCCUUCGGGUUGUAAAGCUCUUUUGUCAGGGAAGAAACAGCAGCUCUAACACAGUAUGCGAAUGACGGUACCUGAAGAAUAAGCACCGGCUAACUACGUGCCAGCCGCCGCAGUAA